rnacentral:ncRNA from 1 species
AAAAAAUUUAAUUUAUAUUUAAAAAUUUAUUUUGUAAAUAAUAAUAUUAAUAAGAUUUAUUAGAAAUAAUUUAUUAAUUUAAAUAAUUAAUAAGAAUUUAAUAAUUAAUAUUUAUAAUAAUUAAAAUUGUUGAGAUAAUAAAUAGUAAUUUAUAAAAAUAAUAAUAAAGUUAGUGCCAGCAAUUGCGGUUAGACUAAUAUUGUAGAUAAAUUAUGUUAUAAUUAAUAAAUGAGUAAAAAAUUUAGAAAGAGGAUUAGUAUAAGGUAUAUUUUAUAUGGUGAAAUAUUUAAAAUAAUAUAUAUAUAAAAAAUUGUAUAAUAAUAAAUUUGUAAAAUUAUAAAAAAAAUUAGGAUUAGAUACCCUAUUAUUAUAAAAAAAAAUUAAUUAAUAAGAGAUUAAAUGUAAAUCAUUAAAUUUAAAAAAUUUGGCGGUAUUUUAAAUAGUUAGAGGAAUUUGUUGGUUAAAUGAUAGUCCACGAUUGGGGCGUCCUAGUGAAGUUUUUAUGUAUUGUUGUAAAAAAAUUAUUUUAUAAGAAUUUAAUGAUUAAGCUAUUUAAUUUAAUUUUAAUUCAAAUCAAAAUGUAGAAUUAUUGGGUAUUUAAAUGAAUUACAAUUUAAUUUAAUAUUAGAGUUAUUUUUUUAAUUAAAGUAAUAAUAUAGGAUUUAAUAGUAAAUUUAAAUAAAUUUUUAAAUUGAAAUAUUAAUUGAAAUAUGUACAAAUUGCCCGUCAUUUUCAUGAAUAAUUAAUUGGAAGAAGUCGUAACAAAGUAAGUGUACAGGAAUGUGUAUUUAGAUGAAA